GCCCGAGUUAGCUCAAUCGGUUAGAGCGUGAGGCUCUUAAUCUCAGGGUCCUGGGUUCGAGCCCCACGUUUGGGCG